CUGUUGCUUGCAACAGCGAAUUGUAGUCUCGAGAAGCGUUUUCCCGGUGGAUCUAUCCUGCCAAAGUUGCUUGGAACAGCACAUCGGAGAGGGUGACAAUCCCGUUCGUGGCAGGGCAGACCGCCUACGAUGCGCUUUCCAUGAGUCGGGUUGCUUGGGAAUGCAGCCCAAAAUUGGUGGUAAACUCCAUCUAAAGCUAAAUAUUGGCACGAGACCGAUAGCGAACAAGUACCGUGAGGGAAAGAUGAAAAGAACUUUGAAAAGAGAGUUAAAAAGUGCGUGAAACCGUUAGAGGGGAAGCGGAUGCAGUUAGCAAUGCUACUGCGAGAUUCAGGCGGUCGCUCGGCCAGACGUGCAGUUGGUGGAUCCGCAUGGACUGUCGCUGCACGGCCGGGUCUUGUGUCCGUCGCACUUCUCACAGGAGCGCGUCAACAGCUGCUGGAUUCUGGUGAGACGGGCCCAUGGAAGGUAGGCACUUGGCUUGCCGAGUGUUGUUAUAGAUGUGGGUGCCCAGCUCGGAUCUGGCAGAGGUGGGUUUGCGGUACAUGCUCUCUCUUCCGGGAGGGCUGGCGUCCUGUCACGUUCUCGUAGUCGGCCUGGGCGCACUGCRUGCAGUGCGUUUUUGCCGGCGAAAAGGCGUGCAAUCAACGCACACGAUGUGCCAUGGUUGUUGGCGGCAAUAUGACUUUAUCCGACCCGUCUUGAAACACGGACCAAGGAGUCUAACAUGUGCGCGAGUCUUGGGGUGACUGAAACCCAGAGGCGCAAUGAAAGUGAAGGCUGCCUGGCAGCUGAGGUGAGAUCUUCGCUCCAUGCGAGUGAGGCGCAUCAUCGACCGACCUAUUCUACUCUUAGGAAGGUUUGAGUAAGAGCGUACAUGCUGGGACCCGAAAGAUGGUGAACUAUGCCUGAGUAGGGUGAAGCCAGAGGAAACUCUGGUGGAAGCUCGUAGCGAUUCUGACGUGCAAAUCGAUCGUCGAACUUGGGUAUAGGGGCGAAAGACUAAUCGAACCAUCUA
rnacentral:rRNA from 1 species